rnacentral:rRNA from 1 species
UUUCGCUCCGAUGCUCUAGAUUACGCGAAGACCUUACCUACCCUUGACAUCGAGAGAACUUUCCAGAGAUGGAUUGGUGCCUUCGGGAACUCUCAGACAGGUGCUGCAUGGCUGUCGUCAGCUCGUGUUGUGAAAUGUUGGGUUAAGUCCCGUAACGAGCGCAACCCUUGUCCCUAUUUGCCAGCGAUUCGGUCGGGAACUCUAGGGAGACUGCCGGUGACAAACCGGAGGAAGGUGGGGACGACGUCAAGUCAUCAUGGCCCUUACGGGUAGGGCUACACACGUGCUACAAUGGCCGGUACAAUGGGUUGCGAAUCCGCGAGGUGGAGCUAAUCCCAUAAAGCCGGUCUCAGUCCGGAUCGGAGUCUGCAACUCGACUCCGUGAAGUCGGAAUCGCUAGUAAUCGUGAAUCAGAAUGUCACGGUGAAUACGUUCCCGGGUCUUGUA